rnacentral:misc_RNA from 1 species
CACUCGGGGCGGGGACAGUGGGUCCACACCUCGCUGCUGCAGGCGCUCAUCGCCGUGCUGGAUUUCCAGGCCGCGCGCUACCUGGUCGCCGGCGAAGUUGCGCCGCAGGCGGGCAACGACCAUCCCACCGGCUCUCCGACCGGCGUCUUCCAGACCUCCGACGG